rnacentral:rRNA from 1 species
UCUUUUUAUUGAGGACUGGAAUGAAGGAUAGAAUCUGAGAGGAAAGUUUUGUAUAAUAAAUUUGAAUUUUAAUUAAAAGUAAAAAUGCUUUUAUAAAUUUUUGGGACGAGAAGACCCUAGAAGCUUAAAAAUUGUAUAUUUUUUUAUUGGGGUAAUAUUUGAAGAAAUAAUUUUUGAGUAAGAAGGGAAAUAUUAAAUAGUUACUCUAGGGAUAACAGCGUAAUUUAAUUAGAGAGUUCUUAUUAAUAGUUAAGUUUGCGACCUCGAUGUUGAAUUAAAAGUUAAUUUUUAAUGAAGGAGUUAAAGGAUUUAGUCUGUUCGACUAUUAAAAUUUUACGUGAUCUGAGUUCAGACCGG